CACUAUUGCCAGCAGCAAGACUGUCAGCUCGGCGCCCUCGUCUGGUUGGAUGGGAAACUGCAGUUGCUAAGGGAGCUGGGAAUCUCUGAGGACAAAUGGGAAUUCUCACUGAUUUCUAGGACUACCCUGGGGCAGACACUAUGGUGACUGAAGUUCUCAUUUUUAUUUUUUAAUCCCCUGGAUUUACCAGCAUUAAGUUGUCAUUUUUAAAAUGGGGCCAU